GUGUCAGCACGCCCACACCAGGCCUCAACAAUGGCCACCAACAAUGUCCCAGUCCCUGGAGUGUUCUGACCCCUCACCAAGAUGCACUCAGGGCCUAUUAGGAGCUGGAGCAGCCAUCUUAGUCAUGUUAUGGAAGCUGUGUGUGGAGGAAGAUAAAGCCACUGUACCAGCCCUAGAAGGCUUAUACUUGGACUUCUAGAGGAGACAGAAAGGCCCUGCUGACUGUGAUGAAGGAAGGAUGGCUUCAAACAAAGACACUACCAGAACAAUCUUUAGGAAAUGUGUGGAAAAUAACCCUGCAAUCUAAAGAGAGAGAGUGACUACCUCUGCCUGGAGAGUUGGAAAUGACUACGGAAGAAGAGUUUUGAUAUUUGAACUGGAUCCAGAAUGGUGAAAUUGAAGGUAGAGAGGAAGAUCUUAAAAGGAAAUUCCAGAAAGAAGAAGGUGACUGUCACCAAGAUGGACUGCAGGAGAAAAGGAGACGUGAGAUUAUUGCAAUCACGCUGAUCAUAGUGAGGGUGCAGAGAAAAAGAUACCACAUUUGGGAAGAUGCUAACAUAGAAUCCAUGUGAUUUCAUGACUAAUUAUGCAUGUGCGCUGUGAGAUAGAUGAUUUAAGAAUGAUCCUAUUAUUACAGAACUACAGAGAUAAAAGCAUCAGAAUGUAAGAGAGACACCUAUUUUUUCCCUUUUAAAAUCAUCUUAUUUUCAAUAGUGGGCAAUUAUGUAAUUUUUUGAGCCUUCAUGUUUUAAUCUGCUAAAUGGAGAUGUAUAUAAUAUAAUUUAAAAGCCUUUAAUAAGAGGUUUAUAACUUUGUCCUCUUUUGAACAGACUGUCUUAUUAUUAUAAUGGCAUAAUUCUGACAUGCAAAACCACAACCCAUCCUCACUAUGAUUCAAAUGUCUCACUUCUCAAAUC